rnacentral:rRNA from 1 species
GCAGUCGAACGAUGAUGCCCAGCUUGCUGGGCGGAUUAGUGGCGAACGGGUGAGUAAUACGUGAGUAACCUGCCCUUGACUCUGGGAUAAGCCUGGGAAACUGGGUCUAAUACUGGAUACUACCUCUUGCCGCAUGGUGGGUGGUGGAAAGGGUUUUACUGGUUUUGGAUGGGCUCACGGCCUAUCAGCUUGUUGGUGGGGUAAUGGCUCACCAAGGCGACGACGGGUAGCCGGCCUGAGAGGGUGACCGGCCACACUGGGACUGAGACACGGCCCACACUCCUACGGGAGGCAGCAGUGGGGAAUAUUGCACAAUGGGCGGAAGCCUGAUGCAGCGACGCCGCGUGAGGGAUGACGGCCUUCGGGUUGUAAACCUCUUUCAGUAGGGAAGAAGCGAGAGUGACGGUACCUGCAGAAGAAGCGCCGGCUAACUACGUGCCAGCAGCCGCGGUAAUACGUAGGGCGCAAGCGUUGUCCGGAAUUAUUGGGCGUAAAGAGCUCGUAUGCGGUUUGUCGCGUCUGCUGUGAGAGCCCGGGGCUCAACCCCGGGUCUGCA